rnacentral:rRNA from 1 species
CUGCGUAGCACAGAGAGCUUGCUCUCGGGUGACGAGUGGCGGACGGGUGAGUAAUGUCUGGGAAACUGCCUGAUGGAGGGGGAUAACUACUGGAAACGGUAGCUAAUACCGCAUAACGUCGCAAGACCAAAGAGGGGGACCUUCGGGCCUCUUGCCAUCAGAUGUGCCCAGAUGGGAUUAGCUAGUAGGUGGGGUAACGGCUCACCUAGGCGACGAUCCCUAGCUGGUCUGAGAGGAUGACCAGCCACACUGGAACUGAGACACGGUCCAGACUCCUACGGGAGGCAGCAGUGGGGAAUAUUGCACAAUGGGCGCAAGCCUGAUGCAGGCCAUGCCGCGUGUAUGAAGAAGGCCUUCGGGUGGUAAAGUACUUUCAGCGGGGAGGAAGGUGUUGUGGUUAAUAACCGCAGCAAUUGACGUUACCCGCAGAAGAAGCACCGGCUAACUCCGUGCCAGCAGCCGCGGUAAUACGGAGGGGUGCAAGCGUUAAUCGGAAUUACUGGGCGUAAAGCGCACGCAGGCGGUCUGUCAAGUCGGAUGUGAAAUCCCCGGGCUCAACCUGGGAACUGCAUUCGAAACUGGCAGGCUAGAGUCUUGUAGAGGGGGGUAGAAUUCCAGGUGUAGCGGUGAAAUGCGUAGAGAUCUGGAGGAAUACCGGUGGCGAAGGCGGCCCCCUGGACAAAGACUGACGCUCAGGUGCGAAAGCGUGGGGGAGCAAACAGGAUUAGAUACCCUGGUAGUCCACGCCGUAAACGAUGUCGAUUUGGAAGGUUGUGCCCCUUGAGGCGUGGACUUCCCGGAGCUAACCGCGUUAAAAUCCAACCGCCCUGGGGGAGUUACGGCCCGCAAGGGUUAAAAACUCCAAAUGGAAUUUGACGGGGGGCCCCCCCACAAGCCGAGUGGAACCAUGUGGGUUUUAAUUUCCGAUGUCAAGCGCCGAAAUGAACCCUUUACCCUGGGUCUUUGAACAUCCACAGAACUUUCCAGAGAUGGAUUGGUGCCUUCGGGAACUGUGAGACAGGUGCUGCAUGGCUGUCGUCAGCUCGUGUUGUGAAAUGUUGGGUUAAGUCCCGCAACGAGCGCAACCCUUAUCCUUUGUUGCCAGCGGUUAGGCCGGGAACUCAAAGGAGACUGCCAGUGAUAAACUGGAGGAAGGUGGGGAUGACGUCAAGUCAUCAUGGCCCUUACGACCAGGGCUACACACGUGCUACAAUGGCGCAUACAAAGAGAAGCGACCUCGCGAGAGCAAGCGGACCUCAUAAAGUGCGUCGUAGUCCGGAUUGGAGUCUGCAACUCGACUCCAUGAAGUCGGAAUCGCUAGUAAUCGUAGAUCAGAAUGCUACGGUGAAUACGUUCCCGGGCCUUGUACACACCGCCCGUCACACCAUGGGAGUGGGUUGCAAAAGAAGUAGGUAGCUUAACCUUCGGGAGGGCGCUACCA